rnacentral:tRNA from 2 species
GCCGCCGUAGCUCAGGGGUAGAGCACUCCAUUGGUAAUGGAGAGGCCGACAGUUCGAAUCUGUCCGGCGGCACCA